rnacentral:rRNA from 1 species
GGGCUCGAGUGUGGUAGGGGCAGAGGGAAUUCCCGGUGUAGCGGUGAAAUGCGUAGAUAUCGGGAAGAACACCAGUGGCGAAGGCGCUCUGCUGGGCCAUCACUGACGCUCAUGGACGAAAGCCAGGGGAGCGAAAGGGAUUAGAUACCCCCUGUAGUCCUGGCCGUAAACGAUGAACACUAGGUGUCGGGGGAAUCGACCCCUCCGGUGUCGUAGCCAACGCGUUAAGUGUUCCGCCUGGGGAGUACGCACGCAAGUGUGAAACUCAAAGGAAUUGACGGGGGCCCGCACAAGCGGUGGAGUAUGUGGUUUAAUUCGAUGCAACGCGAAGAACCUUACCAGGGUUUGACAUCCUGCGAAUCUCUUGGAAACUUGAGAGUGCCUUCGGGAGCGCAGUGACAGGUGGUGCAUGGCUGUCGUCAGCUCGUGUCGUGAGAUGUUGGGUUAAGUCCCGCAACGAGCGCAACCCACGUCUUUAGUUGCCAGCAUUUAGUUGGGCACUCUAGAGAGACCGCCGGUGAUAAACCGGAGGAAGGUGUGGAUGACGUCAAGUCAUCAUGCCCCUUACAUCCUGGGCUACACACGUACUACAAUGCUACGGACAAAGGGCAGCAAGUUCGCGAGGACAAGCAAAUCCCAUAAACCGUGGCUCAGUUCAGAUCGUAGGCUGCAACUCGCCUACGUGAAGGAGGAAUCGCUAGUAAUCGCAGGUCAGCAUACUGCGGUGAAUACGUUCCCGGGCCUUGUACACACCGCCCGUCACACCAUGGAAGUUGGCCACGCCCGAAGCCGUUACUCCAACCCUUGUGGAGGAGGACGUCGAAGGUGGGGCUGAUGACUGGGGUGAAGUCGUAACAAGGUAGCCGUA